rnacentral:rRNA from 1 species
UACGUAGGGAGCAAGCGUUAUCCGGAUUUAUUGGGUGUAAAGGGUGCGUAGACGGGAAGGCAAGUUGGUUGUGAAAUCCCUCGGCUUAACUGAGGAACUGCAACCAAAACUAUCUUUCUUGAGUGCUGGAGAGGAAAGUGGAAUUCCUAGUGUAGCGGUGAAAUGCGUAGAUAUUAGGAGGAACACCAGUGGCGAAGGCGACUUUCUGGACAGUAACUGACACUGAGGCUCGAAAGCGUGGGGAGCAAACAGG